rnacentral:lncRNA from 1 species
UAUCUGAGUGGAGGGAUAAUGCCUUCCCCACCCUUACUAAAAAUGGGUUGAGAACACUGACUUUAAUCAUACAUCUCACGCUGUUUCUCAUAGAUACACGGUCUUCUCUUCUUCAAGCCAUGUUGAUCAAGAGUUGAUUUACAUCAAGGCAUCAGUGAAGCCUUCUAACCCACUUGCCUCUGAAGAUCUAUGUGGAUUGGUGUGUGCCUCAGUUGAAUAAAAUAGCAACCGACAGAUUGGACAUCAUUGAAAACCACGGGUUCCUGCUCCCUUGAUUCUGAUCCUGGCUCUUCCUUUCUACCCAUCUCCUUUGUAACCUGGAGGCCGUCUCUGCCAAAUGAGCAACUCAUUGGUCCAAGGCCUGCUCCCAAAACACCACUGGUGACUGCUACUCUGAGGAAAAAGCUAAUUGUUCCUGCUGCUCUUCCAGAGCCUGUGAAAGUCCCCGCAGAUUUGCCCCACUUUUGAGGAACAGAGGUAAAAGCCUCCAGUUGGGGUGACCCUCCUAAGCCACAGGCUCAAUGGUAACAAUGUCUUUAGCCUGCCUUAAUAAUAAAUGUGACAUUUAUUAAGGCCUUUCUAACAAUCAAUCAAAGCAUAUUGGGUGCUUACUAUGUGCUAAACGCUUGGGGGACUACAGUACAACAGAAUUAGCAGUCAUGUUCUCUGCCCAUUUCAAAUUUACAAGGCUGGAUGGGGAGACAGAUGUUAAUAUAAAUAAAUUGCUGAUAUGUACAAAAUAAAAAAAAAAAUGGUGGUAUUUGUUAAGCGCUUACUACGUGCAGAGGACUGUUCUAAGCACUGGGGGAUACACGGUGA